rnacentral:lncRNA from 1 species
UGAUUUCUCCCAACAACAUGGCGAUGGGAUUAGGUUUGCUAUAUAUAUUUAUAUGUCAAGUACCCAACUUCCAUUCAUGCAACUUCUACAUUAAUUAAUUUGUUGGCUUUCUCCAAUCUCACGUUGAAGAGGUCUGAAGUCUCGACCAUUUUACAUCUUUUGGCAAGUGACGAUGCACCGAGAGAGGUUAACCGGCCUCUUCACUGUAGUACUAUAGAGAUGCACAUGCAAUAAGUGAAACCUAGAAGUUAUUCAAUCAAAUGCAUUGUAGAUAUUUUAAUCCUAAAGCUAAGCAACAUAGUUUCAAAGAAAAAAAAACUUUAAGCUUAAACAGAUUGAUAAAACAGAAUGUGCAAGAUAGAUUAAGGCUCACUCGUGGCAUAAGGUAUG